CACGUUCGGAUUGCAGUCUGCAACUCGAGUGCAUGAAGCUGGAAUCGCUAGUAAUCGCGAAUCAGAAUGUCGCGGUGAAUACGUUCCCGGGUCUUGUACACACCGCCCGUCACACCAUGGGAGUCGGAAAUGCCCGAAGUCUGUGACCCAACCUUAGGGAGGGAGCAGCCGAAGGCAGGUCGGAUGACUGGGGUGAAGUCGUAACAAGGUACC
rnacentral:rRNA from 1 species